rnacentral:rRNA from 1 species
AGUGAACGUUGGCGGCGUGGAUUAGGCAUGCAAGUCGAGCGAGAACCGUAGCAAUACGGGGACAGCGGCGAAAGGGACAGUAAUGUGUAGGUACCUACCUCCGGGUUCGGGAUAGCUGCGGGAAACUGCAGGUAAUACCGAAUAACGUCUCCGGACCAAAGGUGUGAUUCCACCUGGAGAGGGGCCUGCAUCCUAUUAGCUUGUUGGCGGGGUAACGGCCCACCAAGGCGACGAUGGGUAGCGGGGGUGUGAGCACGACCCGCGUCAUUGGGACUGAGACACUGCCCAGGCACCUACGGGUGGCUGCGGUCGUGAAUCUUCGGCGAUGGGCGCACGCCUGACCGAGCGACGCCGCGUGCGGGAUGAAGGCCUUCGGGUUGUAAACCGCUGUCGUAGAGGAGGAAAUGCAGGGGGGUUCUCCCCUCUGUUUGACCUAUUCUAGGAGGAAGUACGGGCUAAGUUCGUGCCAGCAGCCGCAGUAA